rnacentral:rRNA from 1 species
UAAAUCACAAUGCGGAACUAUUAGUUUUGCAAUUGGAUUGAGAACAAUGUACAAAUGUUAUCGAUAAACAAUUGGAGGGCAAGUCUGGUGCCAGCAGCCGCGGUAAUUCCAGCUCCAAUAGCGUAUAUUAACGUUGUUGCAGUUAAAAAGCUCGUAGUUGAAUUGAAGUGAACUUGGAUUGAUGUGAUCUUCGGAUGACGUGAAUCAAAGUUGACUCUUUCCAAAGUCAAUACAUUGGUAUUCAUUUAUCUUUGUAUUGUGUUUGGUCAUUUACUGUGAGAAAAUUAGAGUGUUCAAAGCAGACGUUUGUUUGAAUACAUUAGCAUGGAAUAAUCAUAUAAGGCUUUCAUGUUGAUUUGAUUGGUUUGAAUAUGGAAGCAAGAUUAAAAGGGACAGUUGGGGGUAUUCAUAUUCAAUAGUCAGAGGUGAAAUUCUGGGAUUUAUGGAAGAUGAACAA